rnacentral:lncRNA from 1 species
AGUUACUGGUAGAAAGGCCCCAAGGCCGGGCUUCGGUGGCUGCAGUAGACUGGAUCUGGAUCUCUAAAUGGCAAUCUAUUGACAUGGCUGCCAGCGGUACUUGUGUGUAUGCGAGUAGCACUAGAAAUGCCAUAACAAUGGAAUCAUAUGUCCACAGUUCUACCUCUUUGAGCCAUGCAAUUUAAGUUCCACACCGUGUGUCAACGACAGAGUUGGAGGCUAUUGAUCAAGAUCCUUGUGGACCCACCCACACAUUCUACAUAGAAUCAUGACUGACAAAGUGACAUGCUAUGUGUUUUCAAAAUGACAUAGAGAUUGAAAAUGGAAAAGUUAAAUAUAAAUCUUCAUGGAAGUUUCAGUAAUUUUUAAUAAUUUGUUCUUUUGUGGCAUGCAUAUGUGAA